GCGCGAACUGUUUGUCUUUCUUUGGAUCAGUUCGGACUGGAAGCUUUGGGGAAAGAGUUUAUAACGGUUCAAUCUUUUCUCCACCCCUGGCUGACAGCUCGGGAUUAAUAGGAAAUGAACACAUCGGCCAUCCCCCACUCCACUACUGAUGAUUUGUUGGGCAUUCCCACUUCUCC